ACAGGCAUCGUCUAACGGUUAGGACGUAGGUCUCAUACACCUUUGUAUGUAUGACUGCUUUCAAAGCAGAGUAUCCUUCUCUAUGAAAAGGCAUCCUAAAAUCUGAGUUCGAUUCUCAGUGCGAGCA
rfam:Sphaerulina musiva SO2202 unplaced genomic scaffold SEPMTscaffold_4, whole genome shotgun sequence.